rnacentral:lncRNA from 12 species
CUGGGUGGUUCAGUGGUUCAGUAUCUGCCUUCAGCCCAGGGUGUGACCCCGGAGACCCGGGAUGGAGCCCGCAUCGGGCUCCCUGCAUGGGGCCUGCUUCUCCCUCUGCCUGUGUCUCUGCCUCUCUCUCUCUCUUUGUGUGUCUCUCAUGAAUAAAUAAAUCUUAAAAAAAAAAAAUCUCCAAUAUGAGAUUUUGAAAUUAUUUCCUUCAGAGACUCUCACAGGUAAGUAUUUUUAAGUAGUUUGGUUAUUUGGGUCCCCACCUGUGUUUCCUAAAUGCAUUCCUUCGAUAAGUAUUACGGCUUCUUGAAUCCAACCAGGCACAACUAGGUUUUGGGGAGACAUCAGAGAUAACACAAGCUGCGUUGAGGAGCUCACCUCUCAGCCGGGAAAGACCAGAAGCAAGUAAACAAAUUAAGGCUAUUGCAAAUUAGAGUCACCGCAAAGGAGGAGGCCUGAGGCUGGACUAUCAUGAAGGAAGGGGUGUAUAACGAGAAGACCUUAUGGGACUUACUUCCCUUUUGCUGGGUGUUACAACGUCUGCUGGUUAUUCCAUCUCUUCUGGCUAAUGCUAUUAUUGCUCCCAGUAGAAUCACAGCACUCACCCCACCACCUCGACUCUUUCAUUGAGCACUACUACUGGCUUACUGGAGACAUGGUGAUUACACAGAUGUCUAUAAAAACAGGCAAGAUACCUUUAUGUGUGUAAUGCUUUGCAGGAGGGGGACUCCAGAAUAUUUCCUUACUUGUAGAACUUUGCUAAGCAGCAUGUCCUAUUGAAAGAAACCAUACUAUUCUUUCAAUCACUUCUGCUUUCUAGUUCCUUAGCAUUUUUAAAAACAUGUUUGAUUAGCACUAGACCAAGUGCUAGGUAUGCAUUUUUUUUUAAUUCUCAAAACAACCUUGAGAGACAAGUGUUAUUUUCCAAUUUUAUAGAUAAAUAACCCAAGGUCAAAGAGCUAAAUACUUUCCAAAUGUUGUGUAGCUAGUAGCUCUGCGGUAGGAUUCAAAGCCAGGAUCAAUUGGAUCCUAUAGUAGAUAAUUGAUCCUGCCACCGGAGCUACUUUGCUGACCAUCCCAUCCUCCAGUAGAUAUGACUCAGUGAAUUGCUGUCUCCCCGG